UACGUAGGGGGCUAGCGUUGUCCGGAAUCAUUGGGCGUAAAGCGUGUGUAGGCGGAUCGUUAAGUGCCUUGUGAAAUCCCAUGGCUUAACCAUGGAACUGCUCGGCAUACUGGCGGUCUUGAGCCAUCUAGGGGCUACCGGAACAAAUGGUGGAGCGGUGAAAUGCGUAGAUAUCAUUUGGAACGCCAAUGGUGAAAACAGGUAGCUGGGGAUGUGCUGACGCUGAGACACGAAAGCCAGGGGAGCGAACGGG
rnacentral:rRNA from 1 species